rnacentral:rRNA from 1 species
ACUCCUACGGGAGGCAGCAGUGGGGAAUUUUGGACAAUGGGGGCAACCCUGAUCCAGCAAUGCCGCGUGAGUGAAGAAGGCCCUCGGGUUGUAAAGCUCUUUUGUCAGGGAAGAAACGGUGAUCUCUAAUAUAGAUUGCUAAUGACGGUACCUGAAGAAUAAGCACCGGCUAACUACGUGCCAGCAGCCGCGGUAAUACGUAGGGUGCAAGCGUUAAUCGGAAUUACUGGGCGUAAAGCGUGCGCAGGCGGUUUUGUAAGUCUGAUGUGAAAUCCCCGGGCUCAACCUGGGAACUGCAUUGGAGACUGCAAGGCUAGAGUGUGUCAGAGGGGGGUAGAAUUCCACGUGUAGCAGUGAAAUGCGUAGAGAUGUGGAGGAAUACCGAUGGCGAAGGCAGCCCCCUGGGAUAACACUGACGCUCAUGCACGAAAGCGUGGGGAGCAAACAGGAUUAGAUACCCUGGUAGGAUAGCG